AAUGAUUGAUAGGGAUAGUUGGGGGUGCUGGUAUUCAGCGGCCAGAGGUGAAAUUCUCGGAUUCGCUGAAGACCAACUUAUGCGAAAGCAUUUCACCAAGGAUGUCUUCAUUAUUCAAUAUUGCAAGUUGGGGGAUCGAAGACGAUCAGAUACCGUCGUAGUCUCAACCAUAAACGAUGCCGACUAGGGAUGAGUGAACGUUGCGUUCUGGCCUUCGUUCGCUCCUUCUGCGUUCUCUCCGUCUCAUCAUUGCUUCAAGUAUAGAAACAAGGCUGAAACUUAAAGAAAUUUAAGGAAUGGCACCAUGAGGAAUGUAUCCUGCGGCUUAAUUUGACUCAACACGGGAAAUCUUUUCAGGUCCAGACACAGUAAGGAUUGACAGAUUGAAGAUCUUUCUUGAUUCUGUGGGUGGUAAUGCAUGGCCGUUCUUAGUUGGUGGAGUGAUUUGUCUGGUUAAUCCCCUUAACGAACGAGUCCUC
rnacentral:rRNA from 1 species